rfam:Dipodomys ordii contig_29044, whole genome shotgun sequence.
GGUUAUGUAGCUUAGUGGUAGAGUGUGUGCCUAGCAUACAUGAAGUCCUGGGUUCAAUUCCCCAGUACCA